AGCGAACGCUGGCGGCGUGCCUAACACAUGCAAGUCGAACGUGAACGGGGGCAACUCCUAGUAAAGUGGCGUACGGGUGAGUAACGCGUAGGUAAUCUACCGGAGAGUCUGGAAUAACCGGCCGAAAGGCUGGCUAAUACUGGAUAGGGCGAAGAAAUCCGUAAAAGGAUUUUUCGGGAAAGGGAGGUCGUAAGGCCCUUUGCUCUCUGAUGAGCCUGCGUCUGAUUAGCUAGUUGGUGAGGUCAAGGCUCACCAAGGCGAUGAUCGGUAGCUGGUC
rnacentral:rRNA from 1 species